AGCGAACGCUGGCGGCAGGCCUAACACAUGCAAGUCGAACGGACCCUUCGGGGUUAGUGGCGGACGGGUGAGUAACACGUGGGAACGUGCCUUUAGGUUCGGAAUAGCUCCUGGAAACGGGUGGUAAUGCCGAAUGUGCCCUUCGGGGGAAAGAUUUAUCGCCUUUAGAGCGGCCCGCGUCUGAUUAGCUAGUUGGUGAGGUAACGGCUCACCAAGGCGACGAUCAGUAGCUGGUCUGAGAGGAUGACCAGCCACACUGAGACUGGGACACGGCCCAGACUCCUACGGGAGGCAGCAGUGGGGAAUCUUGCGCAAUGGGCGGAGGCCUGACGCAGCCAUGCCGCGUGAAUGAUGAAGGUCUUAGGAUUGUAAAAUUCUUUCACCGGGGACGAUAAUGACGGUACCCGGAGAAGAAGCCCCGGCUAACUACGUG
rnacentral:rRNA from 1 species